GGAAUUGUUCGCAAUGGGCGCAAGCCUGACGACGCAACGCCGCGUGGAGGAUGAAGAUUUUCGGAUCGUAAACUCCUGUCGAAUGGGACGAACAGAUCGCGGGUUAACAGCCCGUGGUCCUGACGGUACCGUUAAAGGAAACCCCGGCUAACUCCGUGCCAGCAGCCGCGGUAAUACGGGGGGGUAAGCGUUGUUCGGAAUUACUGGGCGUAAAGGGCUCGUAGGCGGCCAACUAAGUCAUACGUGAAAUCCCUCAGCUUAACUGGGGAACUGCGUGUGAUACUGGAUGGCUUGGAUUUGGGAGAGGGAUGCGGAAUUCCAGGUGUAGCGGUGAAAUGCGUAGAUAUCUGGAGGAACACCGGUGGCGAAGGCGGCAUCCUGGACCAAUAUUGACGCUGAGGAGCGAAAGCCAGGGGAGCAAACG
rnacentral:rRNA from 1 species